UUACUCUGGUUUCCCUUCAAAACGUAUAAAUCUUUCGCCUUUUACUAAAGAUUUCCGUGGAGGGGAACUCAAAUGAGUCUGAACUCAAUUUUUGACGCCCUGCGCAAGCGGGGU